GUCCACGCCGUAAACGAUGAAUGCCAGACGUCAGCAGGCAUGCCUGUUGGUGUCACACCUAACGGAUUAAGCAUUCCGCCUGGGGAGUACGGCCGCAAGGUUAAAACUCAAAGGAAUUGACGGGGGCCCCGCACAAGCGGUGGAGCAUGUGGUUUAAUUCGAAGCAACGCGCAGAACCUUACCAACCCUUGACAUGGGUAUCGCGGGAUCAGAGAUGGUCCUUUCAGUUCGGCUGGAUACCACACAGGUGCUGCAUGGCUGUCGU
rnacentral:rRNA from 1 species